UAAGCCCUCAUGCGUCUGCAAUCAUUAGAUAGUCUAAGUCUGGACAAAGUCUAUCAAUUUAUAAGAUGAAAACAUCAUCAAGACAAGCCCAAGCUACCAACCAAUCUAUUAGGCGAUUCCCUUCUUUGAAUAUAUGAGAAACUUUAGUGACCCAAAUAGAUUUUGUCCACUAUUGAAUGUCCUGUAGCAGAGGAAGAUUAGC
rnacentral:lncRNA from 1 species